CGAAACUCGAGCGAGAAACCAAAUGUCAAAAAUAGCACUAGAAAUUUGAAUUUUAAGAAACACGGCACAAUGUUCAACAAAUUACGAAAUUUGCCCUAAACCAUGUAUUUUCAAAAACAAGCGAACUACGUAAUAGUGGAAAAUAAUCCCAAAAACAAACAAAAAAAAAAUAGCAUGAAACCAAAUAUGCAAUCGAAACCAACAAUAAGCAUAAAAUCACAAACCCAACAACCAGCACGUAGACAAAUCGUAAGUCCACACAUAGUUCAGAAUCCUGUGGAGUAAAGUGUAUACAGAACAUCACCGUGAAACGUGCCACGUAGUCCAUGUAAGUUAGACUCAAAACCUUAAAUUAGUGAGAAAGGACACGUGAAAACAACCAGACAAAGGUGAAUGUCUACCAAGUGACAGUCAAAUCCAAUUCCACGAGGACCUAUAUCAAUUAUUAUGAUUGUCACAAUUUUACUCCCCCUAACUGUAUGAUUCCAUUUUUUUUUAAAUAAGAAUAACAAAAGAACUUAAGUGCAAUGCAAUCCUCAUUAGGCAACAUAAAUGACCCCUGUAACGAACUUUGGGCCGGUGACUCCCAAGUCAGACGACCAUAGGGCACCAGGUUAGAAACCCCUCAGGCUUAAUUGUUCGAGUCAAGUAGGCCCCGAAGAUAGUCAUAAGUUCAACAAAUAACAAAAUAAAACUGGGGAAAGACAAUAUUGAUUAGGUUACACUCGUCCCAGAUCACGUCAAAUGUACAUACAACCCCAAUCAUAGAAGAACACCAUCCCAAGUCUCACCCAUGCGGUCAAGACUCACUUACAGGACUACAGUGUGUGCUGUGUGAAAAUGAAUGACGAGCCAUAUACCCAGAACUCCACAGUCAAAAAAUGAACAAUGAUGGAACCUCAGACUCGUACAUAUGAAGAAAAAUAGAGUUUGAUCUUUAAUGCAAAUGCCAUAAUCGUUACAUAAAGGCCCAAAAUUUUUUUUUAUAUAAUUUUAUUAUUAUUAUUAUUUUUUAAUUUUUUUUAUUUAAACACACGAAUAUAACACACAAAAGAAGACUAAACUUACAAAAAAAAUGCAUCACACACUCACAU
rnacentral:lncRNA from 1 species